rnacentral:rRNA from 1 species
UACGUAGGGGGCAAGCGUUGUCCGGAUUUAUUGGGCGUAAAGAGCGUGUAGGCGGCCUACGAGGUCAGCUGUGAAAACUCGAGGCUCAACCUCGAGAUGUCGGCGGAAACCAUCUGGCUAGAGUCCGGAAGAGGAAAGUGGAAUUCCCGGUGUAGCGGUGAAAUGCGCAGAUAUCGGGAAGAACACCCGUGGCGAAGGCGGCUUUCUGGGACGUACUGACGCUGAGACGCGAAAGCGUGGGGAGCGAACAGG